GAUGAACGCUGGCGGCGUGCCUAACACAUGCAAGUCGAACGAAAAGACCCGGAUCUUGCUCCUCUGACGUUAGCCGCGGGCGGGAGAGUAACGUGUGGAUCCCCUACCUAUAAGACUGGUAUAACUUCGGGAAACCGGUGCUAAUACGGGAUAAUAUAUUGAACCGCAUGGUUCAAUAGUUAAAGACGGUUUUGCUGUCACUUCUAGAUGUAUCCGCGCCGCAUUAGCUGGUUGGUAGGGUAACUGCUUCCCAAGGCAACGAUGCGUAGCCGACCGGUCAGGGGGAUCGGCGACAUUGGAAGUGAGACGCCGUCCUGAGGCCUACGGGAGGCAGCAGUAGCGAAGGGGGGGAAAUGGGGGGAAGCUUGACGGAGCGACGGCGCGUGGGUGAUGAAGGGCUUCGGAUCGGAAAACUGUGUUAGGAGUGAAGAACAAAUGUGGCAGGAGCUAUGCACGUCGUGACGGUACCUGAUCAGAAAGCAACGGCUAACUACGUG
rnacentral:rRNA from 1 species